rnacentral:rRNA from 1 species
UUGAACGCUGGCGGCAGGCCUAACACAUGCAAGUCGAGCGGAUGAGUGGAGCUUGCUCCAUGAUUCAGCGGCGGACGGGUGAGUAAUGCCUAGGAAUCUGCCUGGUAGUGGGGGACAACGUUUCGAAAGGAACGCUAAUACCGCAUACGUCCUACGGGAGAAAGCAGGGGACCUUCGGGCCUUGCGCUAUCAGAUGAGCCUAGGUCGGAUUAGCUAGUAGGUGAGGUAAUGGCUCACCUAGGCGACGAUCCGUAACUGGUCUGAGAGGAUGAUCAGUCACACUGGAACUGAGACACGGUCCAGACUCCUACGGGAGGCAGCAGUGGGAAUAUUGGACAAUGGGCGAAAGCCUGAUCCAGCCAUGCCGCGUGUGUGAAGAAGGUCUUCGGAUUGUAAAGCACUUUAAGUUGGGAGGAAGGGCAGUAAGUUAAUACCUUGCUGUUUUGACGUUACCAACAGAAUAAGCACCGGCUAACUUCGUG